UAAGGAAUAUUGGACAAUGGUCGCAAGACUGAUCCAGCCAUGCCGCGUGCAGGAAGACGGCCCUAUGGGUUGUAAACCGCUUUUGUACCAGAGAAAACCUAUCUACGUGUAGAUAGCUGAUAGUAUGGUAAGAAUAAGCAUCGGCUAACUUCGUGCCAGCAGCCGCGGUAAGACGAAGGAUGCAAGCGUUAUCCGGAUUCAUUGGGUUUAAAGGGUGCGUAGGCGGGCUUGUAAGUCAGUGGUGAAAUCUCUCAGCUUAACUGAGAAACUGCCAUUGAUACUGCAGGCCUAGAGUAUAGAUGACNUUGGCGGAAUAUGACAUGUAGUGGUGAAAUACUUAGAUAUGUCAUAGAACACCGAUUGCGAAGGCAGCUAACGAAACUAUAACUGACGCUGAGGCACGAAAGUGCGGGGAUCAAACA
rnacentral:rRNA from 1 species